CAUAACCUGGUUGAUCCUGCCAGUAGUCAUACGCUUGUCUCAAAGAUUAAGCCAUGCAUGUCUAAGUAUAAACGACUUUAUACAGUGAAACUGCGAAUGGCUCAUUAUAUCAGUUAUAGUUUAUUUGAUGGUCCCUUGCUACUUGGAUAACCGUAGUAAUUCUAGAGCUAAUACAUGCGUAAAAUCCCGACUUCU
rnacentral:rRNA from 1 species